ensembl:lncRNA
AAUUGAUUUUUAACCGACAUUCUCAGAAAUACUUUCAUUUAGAUAUGGUGCCUUCUAAUACGGUAUUGGACAACUUCAAAUGUUGAUGAUUGAGGUGUAAUAAAAUUUUCAAGAUAUGUAUUUUUUCAAUAUUUCCCCAGAAAAAAGUCAAAUCUCCAGUCGCACUGAAGGGAAAGUCAAGGAUUCGGUAAAGUAAAUUCUGGAGUACGUGGAAAUCCUUCGAGGAGAUGUACGUUUCAUUGAAGUCAUAAAGUAACCCGGUUACGAAAUUGGCCGGCUGAGGCCACUAGACGGGUCAGGGAUCACUGAUGUCAUUUCACAGAUGCAGAGAAAAGACCAGCUGAUCCAAACAGCUGAUGCGCUGAUGACAGCCCUGAACACUGAAGGCAAGUAAUGAGUAAGCAUGCGUGAGGAGUGAUUGGCAGGUGAGAAAUAAGCCAUGGGCUUAUAGGCAUGCAGGGGUAGUGUCUGAACUCACGCUAGAGCUUAAUUUGAAAGAUGAUUUACUGUAACAACUAAAAGAAUCACACAUACAGCUAUACUGCAGGCAGAGAUGAUGUUUUGCACCGUGUGAUUUCUUGCAAUAAUUAGGUAAUUCUAAGUAUCAGAUUGUAGUGUUACUACUUGUUUCACACACGCAGACACACCGGUUGGACUUACGGCACACCCCCUCUCUGUUUGUUUAUUCGUUUGAUUAUCAGCCCCUGUCCAAAAGAGCAGCAGCAGGAUAUCUGGUGUAACACAAUAGCAUGGUCUGUUCCCCGGGGAGCUCCCUGAUCUGUACAGUUAGUCCGCUGGAGCAUCCAAUUUAGCAUUAUCGCUUUUGUCCAGGGAUAAGCUUGCUCCCUGCUCGCCUCGAGGCACUGUGAGAACACUGCACCGUGCGGCGUUUACUCGAGCGGACAACUGGUCUGAUUCCGUCCCUCUCCACCUUCUGUACUGGCGGCUCCCUUAUCUCAGUUGAGGUUUUACGCUGUUGAAGAAUGAGCUCUCCCAGGGGAUGCCCUCAGCCCGGUUCAGGCUGUUUGGUGGACGUGAGAGGCGGUGAUUGGAUUAGUUGUCGUGUUGCAGUCCAAGGAGAAGUAUGUCGGACGUGCCGUGCGAGGAAUGCAUGGGGUAAAGUGUGGGUGAAGUUGGGGAGUGUGAAGUACUGAGGUCCGGCGAGAGCAGCGCCGUAGAAAGCUUGAGUGAAAGCGCGCCCUUGCUGACAGAUGAAUUGCUCUAAUUAGAAAUCCAUAACAUCCUGCCACAUGGCCGCCUUAUCCCCAGCGCACUUCCUGCUCUGGGCCAGGCUGACGACAGCCAGCCCCUGCUCCUUCCGUCACUCUGAGCGAGGGAACGACUCUGCGAACCAGCGUGGGUGUCUCUUCCAGCACAUGCCCCAGGCACAAGUCUUAUCUGUCAGUCCCCCCUUUUCUUGGACCACAAGUGAGCAAAUGUCAAUGUGUGUGUGUGUGUGUGUGUGUGUGUGUGUGUGUUGUCCCGGCCCUUUGUGUCUGGGCUCUUGCUCAGCUGACUGGCUCACUGUCUCUAUCACUUCCUCUGUUUUUGCCACUCUCAGUCACCCUGCUUCUCUAUCCUCCCCUCACACUCCAUCCCUCUCGCCGGCCCUCCCUCGUCCUCCUCCCAGGUGUCGAGACGGAGGGCAUUAGUUGAGGGAGUCCAGAUACAAGGGGAAUACAAAUGAUAGCUGACGUUGCGAUCCUGUCCCGUGUGUGAAGGAGGGUUCUCGCUCCGGCGGGAGCAGCAGUGCCAGCUUGUCGGAGACACAGCAGGCCACGAGACAAUCUACUCUGCACAUUAAGCGAGACAUAACAAAGAUCCAUGGCCCCUAUUAAACAUUAUGCAAAGCUUAAUGGCCCCUGUUUGGACGCUCUGCACUGUCUCUGGUCCAUUAUUAGAUGAAUGGCUCUGAAGUAAGCUUAGUAGUGCUGUAGCUGCUGAUCUCUCAAAGGAUGAGAGGUUUCAUAGAAGACCGCGUUAACGAGUAAGCUCUUACAACAUGGGGUGUCUUAAUGGGGUGUUUAUUUUCUGCAACCUGCCAAAACAGUGUCAUUGAACAUUUGCAUAAGUCUGAAACACUUUUAGAAGGAUACGAUAUUGUCUAUUGUCCCAAAUCCAGUGACUCUGUAUUUAUGGAAUAUUGUUGUAAAAUAUUGUCUCAAAUGAUAAUAAUGAUGGCGGAAGAACGCCGGCCUUUGAAUUUUUGGAAUUACAACUUGCUGAUCUUUGCUGAUGUUCCAUUUUCGCUCCUCAUUAAAAACAUCAUAGCAAUAUGUAGUUUUUCUGAUAGUGGUGGUGAGAAUUGGCUCUAUUCAUAUACAAGCUAAAAGUAUUAGUCUGCGUAACAAGAGGUUGCUAAAAAUGGCUCUAAAGGCAAGUUAGUCAUACUUGAAAUUGCCUGAAAUUGUUUUCAGGGUCAUCAAACUGUUGCAUUACGUCUUGAGCCCUGUGUUUUCUUGGAAGAAAAAGAAAUACAGACUUUAAAACGUCCAGAAUGUAUAGAAGUGACAAAUAUAAAUAUAUCUGUUGGCAUGUCUCGUGCCUUCUAAGGCCAAUAUUAAACUAUUGUGACGGAUUAAAUGCCGGAACUAAACAUCUUUUAAAGAACAACUACAUAUUUGUGUUGUGUUUUGAAAAACCACAUCCAAAAGCCGCAUGGUUCAGAUUCGCUUUGGACUAAGCAGACUGAACCGCUACCAUUGUUUGUAUCCUCUUUGUCUUUCCAGAGACCCGGCCUGCACACGCUCACGCUCACAAACACAUGGAACACGCAUGCAAACAUGUCAGAUAACUCCCGAACACGACCCUGAGGCACACACCAGCGUACGUGUGCGUUAAUGGCUUCGCCUGUGUGUGUGUGUGUGUGUGUGUGUGUGUGCGCGCGUGCCUGUCAAAGGACGUAAGGGGAUCGGGGAAACAGGCAACGACGAGGGGGAAAGUGGGACAAGAGAGACCCAGAGAAAGUUGAGCCACAGAACAACGCUGCUGCGAGCAGCUGUGGCACUCCCAGAUUUCCCUCUGAUUGCUUUCAGCUGGUACUUGAACCCGGGGCCUUUGGGUUUUGGAGGCCAGCCCAGACCCCACAAUCCCCCCAGCGCCCCAUCCAGCUGCCUGACCCCUCGCUGACCCCGUGCCGAGGAUAGGAAAAUACGAGCCGUGCCAAGCCAGAGAGACUCUUUUAUUUUGCCUGCUGGCAUGCUGCCGGUGACCAGGGCUUACAUAAUGGGAAACAUAGCAGGACCCAGGGAGAAAGCAGACCCUGCCCCGCUUUCUUUCUUUUUUUCUCCCCUCGCUAAUCGAUCCUCCCCUUUCUCCCCAUCUCCUUUCUCCUCUUCUGCGUUUCUUUUUCUACUCCGCUCCCCUCUCGCCCCCACUUGCUGCGUCCUCUUCCUUCCCCCC